GGUUUGAAUGUCGAAAAAACAGCAAAUUUCAUGUCGGAUUCAAUGGGAUAGAUCAGCCACAGUCAUGGGAACCGGAGGGCGCUCAACACUGGCACCAGGUCUGGCCACUCAAACUUCAGUGCAACCGAAGGCGACCAGUAGCAAGAUCAGCCACAAUCAUGGGGACCGAAGGGCGCCGCAUGCCGACUGACGGGCGCCAACCACCAGGACACGUGGCUGAGGGAGAGUUCUCAACGUUGGCAAAAGAUGACGUGUCUGUGUACACUGCACGCUCAUUCGCUCACAAAUCAAGCCUUGUUAAUGUCACACGCUGUGGAGUGACUGCAGAUGGCGAAGGUGUCGAGGUCGAGUCAUCUGCUUAUUUUGUGGCAUCAACUGCUCAAGUUGCUAAACAAAAGAUCUCCAUUAUACUUGAAGUGAUGCGUACGAUAUCAUCGCCUUAUUGUUUUAUCGCACGCUCGGAUCAAGCUUGCCUGGUCGAGAAGAAGCGUGGGCCCGUUGCUACACGCCGGAUGCCACCUCCAUGGCCAUUGAGAAAGUGUUUGAGCCCUUGCACACCUCAGACUCCUCCUGUGUCUUUUUCUCUGGUUACAAGCUCUUCCAGCCGGUCGAUGUAGAUGAGAUAGAUUUUGACUCUGAAGAAUAAUCUAAAGAUAAAGAGGAAGAGAAACUUAUUCCAGUCACCAGGAAAAGGGUCUGCUGCCUCCUGCCACAGCACAAAUAUAUGUAGCGUUGA